rnacentral:piRNA from 3 species
CACCGCCGCGGCCCGGGUUCGAUUCC